CUUUUCCUAGUCCCUGAGACCCUAACUUGUGAGGUUUUUUAGCAACAAUCACAAGUCAGGCUCUUGGGACCU
ensembl:miRNA microRNA 125b-2